CACUGGGAACACAAUAGAGCAGUAGGAAAACAACAGUAUAACACUGCGCUGUCAGCCUCCAACACAGAGCCAGCACACCCAGGCUGCAGCCAUCCCCGGAUGCACAGCACCGUGUCAGAUGAUUAGCUCCAAGGCAACUGCCAACAUGCCGCUUUAGUGGAAAUGAAAACAAGGUACAGGUUCUUUCCAGAAAUCAGAAACCCAAACCUUGGAAACCUGACUCUUCAGGUGAAAAUGCAGAAAAGCUUCUGUUUGGAGUUUCUGGUCAAUAUUUUAGCUCUACUAUCACUCCUAAGGACACAGAAAGGAGCUCUUGUAGGGUUUUCAAGUCUUCCAGAGGACUGACAUCACCUGCAGGACCUAAGACCUGAUGUGUUUUGCUUGCUAAGGCUGGAUACGGACAGAUGGUUUGGAGCAAAUCUGGCAUUUCCUGGGGCAGGAGAAACAACGUACAUGUGCAAGACCAUCACAGGUGCUGGGAGGCAUCCAUGCACCUAUGCUGGCAACUCCAAACCCCAGUCCCUCCUCCUGGGAGCUUUGCCCACUGUACAUGCACAGAGGAGCCAGGUACCCCAGCAGGCAGCAGUGGGAGAGAUUGCUGCUAUGAGAUCUGAGCACAAAGCGGCUUUAACCACUGCUGGCAUUGGCACAGCAAGCGAGAAGACAUUUACUUCCAGGAGCAAACACAGGGAACUGCCAAUUGGCCAAAACCAAAUAAAACAUGACCUCUGAUGAACUGGAGCCGUAAUACUUUCAAACAACCCUGCGCUCAAUAUCGGCAAUGCAAUAGUUUACCUUUGAGACACGAGGGCUGAAGGAGGAACGACACCCCAGCUCCCGGAGAUGUUUCAUUACCAUCAUUGCUAUUACUGAUAACAGGACAGCAAACCCCCACGAGGGCCCCGUGCCGGGCUCCAGGAAAGCAUUACCUGCACCUCUUCCCCAAGGGAAAGCACAGGAGCUGGGGUUUAUGGGAGCACCUGAACCUUUUCAAUUACAGGAAAUACAGAAUGAGGCAGAAUAGAGAUAUUCUUUCCUGGCAGCAAAGUCCUUCCUCUCAGCUUUUGUUCUCAAUCCUGCAACCUGCCCGCUACUCCCUGGGUAACCACGCACACACUCAGCCUUGCUGGCUCCUGGAAAAAGCCCCUUUUAAGUGGGACAGGAACAAACCCUGAGCUAGAAAUAAUGGGAAGCCUUUGGGGAAGAAGUAAUAAAACAAUCUGAGUUUGAUUAUUAAGCACAAAGCGCGAGAUGGCAGCUGAUGUGCAGUACACACCGCCUCCCAAUCAAACAAAUACCCAGAGCGCAGUCCUGUCCAGAAGCAGUAUAGAUAUCUCAGCAGCUUAUUACCUUGUUUCCUGGAUCACUGCAAGCUUCUUGGAACCAGUGUGAAGCACAGGCAAAUCCAUUAAAAAAUUGAUUUUUGUUAUUUCUCUUCA